ensembl:lncRNA
UAUCAUUAAGAUGAUGUGAAAACAGGUAGCUAGUUAUCAUUAAGAUGUUGUGAAAACAGGUAGCUAGUUAUCAUUAAGAUGUUGUGAAAACAGGUAGCUAGUUAUCAUUCAGAUGUUGUGAAAACAGGUAGCUAGCUAGUUAUCAUUAAGAUGCGGUGAAAACAGGUAGCUAGCUAGUUAUCAUUAAGGUGUUGUGAAAAGAGGUAGCUAGUUAUCAUUAAGAUGUUGUGAAAACAGGUAGCUAGCUAGUUAUCAUUAAGAUGCUGUGAAAACAGGUAGCUAGCUAGUUAUCAUUAAGAUG